UUACGGCCAUAUUACGUUGAAACACUGACUCUCGUACGAUCACCGAAGUUAAGCAACAUCGAACUUGGUCAGUACCUAGAUGGGUGACAGCUUGGGAAUACCAUGUACCGUA